rnacentral:rRNA from 1 species
UCAGGAUGAACGCUGGCGGCGUGCCUAACACAUGCAAGUCGAACGAAGCACUUUCCCGAGGAAGAAGCGUGCUUGCACAAAUCGGACUCAAUUAAAGUGACUUAGUGGCGGACGGGUGAGUAACGCGUGGGUAACCUGCCUUAUACAGGGGGAUAACAGUUAGAAAUGACUGCUAAUACCGCAUAAGCGCACGGUAUCGCAUGAUACAGUGUGAAAAAGCGUAACGGUAUAAGAUGGACCCGCGUCUGAUUAGCCAGUUGGUGAGGUAACGGCUCACCAAAGCGACGAUCAGUAGCCGGCCUGAGAGGGUGAACGGCCACAUUGGGACUGAGGCACGGCCCAAACUCCUACGGGAGGCAGCAGUGGGGGAUAUUGCACAAUGGGGGAAACCCUGAUGCAAGCGACGCCGCGUGAGUGAUGAAGUAUUUCGGUAUGUAAAGCUCUAUCAGCAGGGAAGAAAAUGACGGUACCUGACUAAGAAGCCCCGGCUAACUACGUGCCAGCCGCCGC